UGAUCAUGGCUCAGAUUGAACGCUGGCGGGAUGUCUUUACACAUGCAAGUCGAACGGCAGCACGGACUUCGGUCUGGUGGCAGUGGCGAACAGGUGAGUAAUGUAUCGGAACGUGCCUAGUAGCGGGGGAUAACUGCGCGGCGCAGCUAAUACCGCAUACGCCCUUCGGGGGAAAGCGGGGACCUUCGGGCCUCGCACUAUUAGAGCGGCCGAUAUCGGAUUAGCUAGUUGGUGGGAGUAACGGCUCACCAAGGCGACGAUCCGUAGCUGGUUUGAGAGGACGACCAGCCACACUGGGACUGAGACACGGCCCAGACUCCUACAGGAGGCAGCAGUGGGGAAUUUUGGACAAUGGGGAAACCCUGAUCCAGCCAUCCCGCGUGUGCGAUGAAGGCCUUCGGGUUGUAAAGCACUUUUGGCAGGAAAGAAACGGCACGGGAUAAUACCCCGUGCAACUGACGGUACCUGCAGAAUAAGCACCGGCUAACUACGAGCCAGCAGCCGCGGUAAUACGUAAGGGUGCAAGCGUUAAUCGGAAUUACUGGGCGUAAAGCGUGCGCAGGCGGUUCGGAAAGAAAGAUGUGAAAUCCCAGAGCUUAACUUUGGAACUGCAUUUUUAACUACCGAGCUAGAGUGUGUCAGAGGGAGGUGGAAUUCCGCGUGUAGCAGUGAAAUGCCGUAGAUGUAUGCGGAGGAACACCGAUGGCGAAGGCAGCCUCCUGGGAUAACACUGACGCUCAUGCACGAAAGCGUGGGGAGCAAACAGGAUUAGAUACCCUGGUAGUCCACGCCCUAAACGAUGUCAACUAGCUGUUGGGGCCUUCGGGCCUUGGUAGUACAGCUAACGCGUGAAGUUGACCGCCUGGGGAGUACGGUCGCAAGAUUAAAACUCAAAGGAAUUGACGGGGACCCGCACAAGCGGUGGAUGAUGUGGAUUAAUUCGAUGCAACGCGAAAAACCUUACCUACCCUUGACAUGUCUGGAAUCCCAGAAGAUUUGGGGAGUGCUCGCAAGAGAACCGGAACACAGGUGCUGCAUGGCUGUCGUCAGCUCGUGUCGUGAGAUGUUGGGUUAAGUCCGCAACGAGCGCAACCCUUGUCAUUAGUUGCUACGAAAGGGCACUCUAAUGAGACUGCCGGUGACAAACCGGAGGAAGGUGGGGAUGACGUCAAGUCCUCAUGGCCCUUAUGGGUAGGGGGCUUCACGCACGUCAUACAAUGGUCGGGACAGAGGGUCGCCAACCCGCGAGAGGGAGCCAAUCCCAGAAACCCGAUCGUAGUCCGGAUCGCAGUCUGCAACUCGACUGCGUGAAGUCCGGAAUCGCUAGUAAUCGCGGAUCAGCAUGUCGCGGUGAAUACGUUCCCGGGUCUUGUACACACCGCCCGUCACACCAUGGGAGUGGGUUUUACCAAGUAGUUAGCCUAACCGUAAGGAGGGCGAUUACCACGGUAGGAUUCAUGACUGGGGUGAAGUCGUAACAAGGCCAA
rnacentral:rRNA from 1 species